rnacentral:lncRNA from 1 species
AUGCGGGCAGGGAGCGGCUCCCCAAAACCACCAACUCCUGCCUGCGGUCCCCCCAGGUACAAGCACUUCAAGUCCUUGCCAGAGUCGCUGAGCCUGGAGCAGCUGAGUCUGGCAGAGACUGGGUCCCAAGAGGAGGCGGAUAGACCUGCAGCAGGGGACGGUGGCCCCAGCAAGGUCGCCUGCAGGACACGGUCACUAGAGGAGGGGGUCGACCUCGAGACCUCCCCUUUGCACCCCGCGGAGAGGAGAGCUGCGCCGCUGCCCCCCAGGGAGCCUCCAUGGCCAGGGAGGACACGGGGCCACCUGUCCCCUGCCACCGCUGAGGAGCCACCGGCCACAGCCAAGCCCCCCCUGGGGCUCCCCGAGCCACCGCGGGUGCUCCUGUCCCGCCGCAGCAGCAGGGCGGGCAGCGCUGUCGCCCAGCACCAGCCCCGCAAGGAGCAUCGCAUUGUGUCACCGGAGACGGACAGCGGCUUUGUGGGCUCGGAGGCCAGCAGGGUGUCACCCCCCGUGCACACCCCUGAGCACCAGCCUCCCGGCACCGGGACCCCUGGCUUGCUGGGACCCUCCAUCCCCAUCCCUGCAACCCUCUGUCCUCCACGGAAGAGAGAGGCGAUCCCGCUUCCCUCCGAGACGGCGCUGAUGGACAUCUACCCCGUGGGCGAGCAGGGUGGCACCGGGGGGCCCCGCCUGCCCCCCAGCACCCCCUCGCAGGGCAGGUCCCCCCCGCGCUGGGCCGAGAGCGCGGGCAGCGAGGCAGGACCCGACGGUGACGGCACUCACACGGACUCGGAGGCAGAAGGCAGGAGUUGCGCCAGCGCCGGCGGCCACCCCUCCAGCGUGGCCAGGGGCCCGGCCAGCCCCCCGCCAUCCCCCGAAACACCGUCCCCCACCCCGCUGUCCCCUGACCUGCCAUCCCUCGACCCGGCUCGCUGCGACCUGCUGGGCUCCCGUCUGGAGCCCAGGCCAUCCGGGCGCUGCGGGACGAGGUGUGGCGGCUGCAGCGGAGGCUGGAGGAGAGCCUGCGCCGCUCCCGCAGGUAUCCCGAGGGAAAAGCCGCCCCGGCCAGGAGGCAGCUGGUGGCCAGCGGACCAUCGUCCCCCAAGGACGCAGCACCCUCGGGGGAGCCAAGCCCCCCGGUGCGGGGCAGGGUGGCCCCUGGGGUCGCACUGA